rnacentral:rRNA from 1 species
AGAGUUUGAUCCUGGCUCAGGACGAACGCUGGCGGCGUGCUUAACACAUGCAAGUCGAACGGAGAUAGAUGGAAGAUUUAUCUGAAAUCUAUUUUAGUGGCGGACGGAUGAGUAACGCGUGGGUAAUCUGCCUAGAAGAGAGGAACAACUCAGGGAAACUUGAGCUAAUACCGCAUAACGUAUAUUUAUUGCAUAGUAGAUAUACCAAAGGAGAAAUCCGCUUUUAGAUGAGCCCGCGUCUGAUUAGCUAGUUGGUGGGGUAAAAGCCUACCAAGGCGACGAUCAGUAGCCGGACUGAGAGGUCGAUCGGCCACAUUGGGACUGAGACACGGCCCAGACUCCUACGGGAGGCAGCAGUGGGGAAUAUUGCGCAAUGGGGGAAACCCUGACGCAGCAACGCCGCGUGAAGGAAGAAGGAUCUUGGUCUGUAAACUUCUUUAAUCUGUGAAGAAACAAAUGACGGUAGCAGAGGAAUAAGCCCCGGCUAACUACGUGCCAGCAGCCGCGGUAAUACGUAGGGGGCAAGCGUUGUCCGGAAUUACUGGGUGUAAAGGGAGUGUAGGCGGGUAUUUAAGUCAGAUGUGAAAACCACGGGCUCAACUUGUGGACUGCAUUUGAAACUGGAUAUCUUGAGUGUGGGAGAGGAAAGUGGAAUUCCUAGUGUAGCGGUGAAAUGCGUAGAUAUUAGGAGGAACACCAGUGGCGAAGGCGGCUUUCUGGACCAUAACUGACGCUGAGGCUCGAAAGUGUGGGGAGCAAACAGGAUUAGAUACCCUGGUAGUCCACACUGUAAACGAUGGAUACUAGGUGUAGGGGGUAUCGACUCCC